rnacentral:lncRNA from 1 species
AAGCUUUGCUGCUGCCCUGGGAACUGCGCUAUUCGAAUCCGGUUACCUGUGGGGCGACCGGACUCACAGUAGCAGCCUAUCGAAGCGGAAUCCGAGCUUGAAUUCGGUGCAGUUGAUUGUAGAGCUGGUCUUGAUGUCCUGAACAUCAGGUUUUGCGACCCCCAGUCGAUCGAGGUCCAUCAGCUGUACCCUGGAGGCAAGCUUUCUCACGGGAGGACACAGGCUACAGAGGCUGGAAAAUACUCGUUUCCUAGCUGGUACCCUACUGAGAUUGGAGACUGCUGUACUGCUGAAGAUAAAGCAGUUUUUGUUUUGUUUCUAAAACGACUUGAGCAUCGUGUAUUAAGAUAUCCUAUCACUGUUGUCAGAAAUGGCUAGCAUCCUUUCACGCAUGGGUAACAGCCGGGGGCAGAACUCACCCCUGCCACCUUGGGCUCAUUCCAUGCUGAGGUCCCUGGGGAGGAGUCUUGGUCCUUUAAUGGCCAGCAUG